rnacentral:rRNA from 1 species
UACGUAGGGUGCGAGCGUUAAUCGGAAUUACUGGGCGUAAAGCGUGCGCAGGCGGCGCGUUAAGACAGGUGUGAAAGCCCCGAGCUUAACUUGGGAAUUGCGCUUGUGACUGGCGUGCUGGAGUGUGGCAGAGGGAGGUGGAAUUCCACGUGUAGCAGUGAAAUGCGUAGAUAUGUGGAGGAAUACCGAUGGCGAAGGCAGCCCCCUGGGAUAACACUGACGCUCAUGCACGAAAGCGUGGGGAGCAAACAGG